ACAGAGGCAGCUAAUGAGG
rnacentral:siRNA from 1 species